UACGGAGGAUGCGAGCGUUAUCCGGAUUUAUUGGGUUUAAAGGGUGCGUAGGCGGAUUUUUAAGUCAGCGGUAAAAUGUCCGGGCUCAACCCGGGCCGGCCGUUGAAACUGGGGAUCUUGAGUGGGCGAGAAGUAUGCGGAAUGCGUGGUGUAGCGGUGAAAUGCGUAGAUAUCACGCAGAACUCCGAUUGCGAAGGCAGCGUACCGGCAUCCAACUGACGCUGAGGCACGAAAGCGUGGGGAUCAAACAGG
rnacentral:rRNA from 1 species